rnacentral:lncRNA from 1 species
ACCACAGCAUGGCUUGAUGAGCAGUACAGAGGUCUGCACCUGGGAUCUGAACCUGCAAACCCUGGGCUGCCCAAGCAGAGCAUGUGAACUCAACCAUUACACCACUGGGCUGGCCCCUGACAUAUACCACUUUAAGUUCCCAAUACAUGAAGUGGUAUAAUAUUAUUUGAAUGUAGACAGUGAAAAGUACAAGCAGCAUAAUAUAAACCAUGAGCAAUCACUAAAAACAAAACAAAACCUAAAGACAUACAAACCUAAAGCUGCCCUAGGAAAAUAAAAUCUUAAACAACAAAAACAAAGACAUACAGCUAAUAAAGUAGAUAAAGUGGAAUACUAAAAUAUACUAAAUUAAUCCAAAAGAAGGCAGGAAAAGGAAAUAAAGGAACAAAGAAAAUAUGAGACAAACAGGAAAAAAAUAGCUAGCUGUAGAUUUAGACCCAACCAUAUUGAUAAUUGCAUCCAAUGCAAAUGUCUAAGAACUCCAAUUAAAAGGCAGAGAUUGCCAAACUGCAAUAAAAAUGAGAUAUUCAGUUACGCUGUUUAUAAAGAAACCCACUCUAAAUAUGACACACACAGAUUGAAAAAGAUAAAAAACAGUAAUCGUGAGAAAGUGAGUGUGGCUAUAUUAAUACCAGACAAAUUAAGACUUCAGAGCAAGAAAUAUAACCAGGGAUGAAGAAGAAUAUUUUCAUAAUAAUGAAGGGGUCAAUUCAUCAACAACAUAAUUCUAACUGUGAGGGACCCAACGCAGAGAUAUAAAUAAAUAAAAUAAAUAAAUAAAUUUUAAAAGUUACAUGGAUUUGAAAGGAAGAAACAGAAUUGUCAUUACUUGCAGAUGAUAUAACUAUGUAGAAAACUUUGAAGAGUCUCAGAUAUAUAACUAAAACUAACAAGAGAAUUUUGUAAGAUAGUUGGAUAAAAAUUCUAUGUAUAAAAACCAAUCGCAGCCACAGAUCAGAGAAAAUAUUUGCAAAACACAUAUCUGCUAAAGGACUGUUAUCCAAAAUAUACAAAGAACUCUUAAAAUUCAACAAUAAGAAAAGAAACAGCCCAAUUAAAAAGUGGGCAAAAGAUCUGAACAGAUACCUCAUCAAGUAAGAUGUACAAAGGGCAACAAAGCAUAGGAA